CGGCCCAGUGACAACACCUGCACACAACUGGACAGCUCCGAUUCAAGCUACUCCAGAAUCGAGGUGUACGACAAAACGGACUACAGUCUCCUGACCAAUGGGGACACGUCUGACGCCGCCUACACCUACUCCACAUGCGCACUGGCGGCCACCUGGAGGGAGGCUACAAUAGGGUCUGCUGGUAGACCUUACAGAUACGAGUGGAGCGCCGGAAUCAGUGGACAAACUGUUGGCUCAGGGCUGUUUGAUCUUGUCUAUGACCGUGUCUGGUACGAUGUAGGUCUGGAGACCAGCGCUGUUCUCACCCUUCCUGUGGGAACUGUACUGGAGGUUGGUGUGAGCUAUGUGUUCUAUGUGAGGGCCUGGUACACAGACAACGUCUACAGAGAGUUUCAGUCCAACGAUGUGAGAGCUGAUCAAACACCACCGAAAAUGUCAAGUUCGAGA